rnacentral:rRNA from 1 species
UUGCGUAGGUGGCAGAGUAAGUUGAUAGUGAAAGCGUCCGGCUCAACCGGAUACACAUUAUCAAAACUGCUCAGCUAGAGGACAAGAGAGGUUAUUGGAAUUCCUAGUGUAGGAGUGAAAUCCGUAGAUAUUAGGAGGAACACCGAUGGCGUAGGCAGAUAACUGGCUUGUUCCUGACACUAAGGCACGAAAGCAUGGGUAGCAAACG